rnacentral:rRNA from 1 species
UACGGAGGAUGCGAGCGUUAUCCGGAUUUAUUGGGUUUAAAGGGUGCGUAGGCGGGCUUUUAAGUCAGCGGUAAAAAUUCGGGGCUCAACCCCGUCCGGCCGUUGAAACUGGGGGUCUUGAGGGGGCGAGAAGAAGGCGGAAUGCGUGGUGUAGCGGUGAAAUGCAUAGAUAUCACGCAGAACCCCGAUUGCGAAGGCAGCCUUCCGGCGCCCUACUGACGCUGAGGCACGAAAGUGCGGGGAUCGAACAGG